GGCGUAGGCGGCCUUGCGUGUCUUCCGUGAAAUCCCUCGGCUCAACUGAGGACGUGCGGAAGAAACUGCAGGGCUCGAGUCCGGGAGAGGGGGGUGGAAUUCCCAGUGUAGCGGUGAAAUGCGUAGAUAUUGGGAGGAACACCGGUGGCGAAGGCGGCCCCCUGGACCGGUACUGACGCUGAGGCGCGAAAGCGUGGGGAGCAAACG
rnacentral:rRNA from 1 species